rnacentral:rRNA from 1 species
AUUGCUUGCAAUCCGCUGACGACCGGCGCACGGGUGCGUAACGCGUAUGCAACCUACCUUCUACAGGGGGAUAGUCAAUAGAAAUGUUGAAUAAUACCCCAUACGAUCUUUGAAUAGCAUUAUUUAAAGAAGAAAGCUCCGGCGGUAGAAGAUGGGCAUGCGUCCUAUUAGUUAGUUGGUAAGGUAACGGCUUACCAAGACUUCGAUAGGUAGGGGUCCUGAGAGGGAGACCCCCCACACUGGUACUGAGACACGGACCAGACUCCUACGGGAGGCAGCAGUGAGGAAUAUUGGACAAUGGAGGCAACUCUGAUCCAGCCAUGCCGCGUGCAGGAAGACUGCCCUAUGGGUUGUAAACUGCUUUUAUACAGGAAGAAAUAUACCUACGUGUAGGUAUUUGACGGUACUGUACGAAUAAGGAUCGGCUAACUCCGUGCCAGCAGCCGCGGUAAUACGGAGGAUCCAAGCGUUAUCCGGAAUCAUUGGGUUUAAAGGGUCCGUAGGCGGUCUUUUA